rnacentral:rRNA from 1 species
GACGAACGCUGGCGGCGUGCUUAACACAUGCAAGUCGAACGAGACGAUUGAAAGCUUGCUUUCGAAAGUCGAGUGGCAAACGGGUGAGUAACGCGUAGACAACCUGCCUUUGAGAUGGGGACAACAGUUCGAAAGGACUGCUAAUACCGAAUGUUGUAUAUUUUCCACAUGGAAGAUAUAUUAAAGAUGGCCUCUAUUUAUAAGCUAUCGCUCAAAGAUGGGUCUGCGUCUGAUUAGCUGGUUGGUGGGGUAACGGCCUACUAAGGCGACGAUAAGUAGCCGGUCUGAGAGGAUGAACGGCCACAUUGGGACUGAGACACGGCCCAGACUCCUACGGGAGGCAGCAGUGGGGAAUCUUCCACAAUGGACGAAAGUCUGAUGGAGCAACGCCGCGUGAGUGAAGAAGGGUUUCGGCUCGUAAAGCUCUGUUGUCGGGGACGAAUGUGCAGUAUUUGAAUAAAGUACUGUAAUGACGGUACCUGACGAGGAAGCCACGGCUAACUACGUGCCAGCAGCCGCGGUAA